rnacentral:rRNA from 1 species
UGGGGAAUAUUGCACAAUGGGCGCAAGCCUGAUGCAGCCAUGCCGCGUGUAUGAAGAAGGCCUUCGGGUUGUAAAGUACUUUCAGCGAGGAGGAAGGCGUUGUGGUUAAUAACCGCAGCGAUUGACGUUACUCGCAGAAGAAGCACCGGCUAACUCCGUGCCAGCAGCCGCGGUAAUACGGAGGGUGCAAGCGUUAAUCGGAAUUACUGGGCGUAAAGCGCACGCAGGCGGUCUGUCAAGACGGAUGUGAAAUCCCCGGGCUCAACCUGGGAACUGCAUUCGAAACUGGCAGGCUAGAGUCUUGUAGAGGGGGGUAGAAUUCCAGGUGUAGCGGUGAAAUGCGUAGAGAUCUGGAGGAAUACCGGUGGCGAAGGCGGCCCCCUGGACAAAGACUGACGCUCAGGUGCGAAAGCGUGGGGAGCAAACA